rnacentral:rRNA from 1 species
ACCGGCAAACGGGUGCGGAACACGUACACAACCUUCCUAUAAGUGGGGAAUAGCCCAGAGAAAUUUGGAUUAAUACCCCGUAACAUAACGAUGUGGCAUCACAUUGUUAUUAUAGCUUCGGCGCUUAUUGAUGGGUGUGCGGCUGAUUAGAUAGUUGGCGGGGUAACGGCCCACCAAGUCUACGAUCAGUAGCUGAUGUGAGAGCAUGAUCAGCCACACGGGCACUGAGACACGGGCCCGACUCCUACGGGAGGCAGCAGUAAGGAAUAUUGGUCAAUGGACGCAAGUCUGAACCAGCCAUGCCGCGUGAAGGAUUAAGGUCCUCUGGAUUGUAAACUUCUUUUAUCUGGGACGAAAAAAGGCUUUUCUAAGUCACUUGACGGUACCAGAUGAAUAAGCACCGGCUAACUCCGUGCCAGCAGCCGCGGUAAUACGGAGGGUGCAAGCGUUAUCCGGAUUCACUGGGUUUAAAGGGUGCGUAGGCGGGCAGGUAAGUCAGUGGUGAAAUCCUGGAGCUUAACUCCAGAACUGCCAUUGAUACUAUCUGUCUUGAAUAUUGUGGAGGUAAGCGGAAUAUGUCAUGCAGCGGUGAAAUGCUUAGAUAUGACAUAGAACACCUAUUGCGAAGGCAGCUUACUACGCAUAUAUUGACGCUGAGGCACGAAAGCGUGGGGAUCAAACAGGAUUAGAUACCCUGGUAGUCCACGCCCUAAACGAUGGAUACUCGACAUACGCG